ACUCUGAGUAUGACAAGAUUCUUCUUCACAAGAUCAAUGACUUUCAGAGAGAUGAGUGUUUCAUUGUCAUCUUUGAUCUGAUUAUUGAGAAGAAAAUCAGUUUUCUUCACAAGUUCAAUCAUCUCAAUGUUGAACUCUCUCAUACUCAUCAUGUCUGCUACAUCAUCAUCAAUAUUGAUGCCCUUGACCAUAUCCAGAAACACUGUGGUGUAUGUUAUUUUCAGUGUGUAAUCAGUCACUUCAGACAGACUUGCAUCUUCUAUAUCUGUCUCAAGAAUUUCAUCUUCAAGCACAUUGACCUUGAACAUAGCACCAUCAUUUCCACUACCAGCAGUAACUAUACCAC
rnacentral:sRNA from 1 species